GAGUUGGAUUUAGACUGGCUGCUGGUCUUCUUGUUGUUGAGAAGCCUUGCUGCAACUAAUUUUCUAAAGGACCUUUCAGAAUGGCACCUUGCUUAACUGAGUGGUUGUGCUGACUGAAUUUUUCCAUUGCUGAAGAAUCCAUCAGAGCCUCUGUUUUAGAAAGAUGUACGUCCCUUGGACUUGGCCAGAUACAAUUAUUACUUGUCUACAGUGAUUGAUGGCAGGUAGCAUGGGGCUGUUUGCUGAUGGAGUCCUUAAAUAGAACACCAGACAACUUUGGAUAUACCUGACAUUGGGAGCUCUAAAGUACCUGAGUGUGUGCAGCACAUGAAUUGCUCUGGUUGCUCAGAUUUUCUCCUGCAUUUACUCCUUCCACACGUCAGGAGUCAUGAUGUGAAAGAAAAGCUACAAGAAAUGGAACGAAGUAAUAGGGGAAUAAUGGCUCACUAUUGCUGUGGCUUCAUUAAUUCAAGUGGUAAAAGCUUGCACUAAGAUGCACCUAAAGCUCUCACUGCCUUAGUGACCCCUCCGUGGAAGCUCAUCCGCUUUAUACAGUCCUCCAGUUAUUAUGCCAGAGGCCAGCAAAGUCAAAUGAUGUAUGUCUGCGGCAGGCAUCUAAUCAGAGUGAUUUGUAGGCACUCUGAGAGGGACCACAGUCCAACUGGUGCCCCAGUGAUAAAAGCCCACUGAUUAAUCCCCAGGCUACACUUUGCUGUGAUUUGCCAUUUGUAGAGAAUAAAUAAAGCAUGAUCCAUUUCACGAUCAACUGCUGGAAAAUAGUUGCUUGUUAAAUUCUCUUACUCACAAAAAUGAGAGUAAAAGUACUUGUCUGGGAUUCUACCCUAGCCUUUUUUUUCCAAACUACGACUGUUAGUUGAUAGGUUUGGUGUUCCAGAAGUGUUCCCUAAUGAGCAGACUUAAUAUAGUAGAUGCUGGGGGAUUUAAUUAUUUAUGUAUUUUUAAUCGGUUUUGCCAGGAUGGUAUGCCUGUCCAUAAAUAAUUUUAAAUACCUGACAAGCGUAUGAAAGGACUGGCUGGCAAAGAGAAAGCAGUCUUUCUGAAAACUAAGAAACUUAGCAUGUGACCUGCUGCACAAGUAACUGCUUUGUCUUUGAAUGUCUGCUAUGGGACCAUUUUUUUCUUGAGAGUCCUUUUACCACAGGAGAAGGAAAAUAUUUACUCACAAACAUUUAAAUUAUUUUUUCUUUUUGCUAUUUCACUUAUAAGCUUUAUGCAGUAUAUGUGGUCUUAAAAGUUCUCUUUUGAAAUUAUAUGCUUUUUCUUACAUAGUCCCACUUUGUAUUUCACUAUAUAGUUGUAGUCCUCUGCUUAAGAAUCAGAAUUGGUUUUCUGUACCAUAACCACAGAUGAAAUAGUAGAUUGAGGGUAAUUUGCAUGGGUAAUUUGAGAAAGAGACUGGUUUGCAUUGCUUUUCCUUAAUUAUUCUGCCCGAAUAAAGCAGCAGAUACCUUUUCCAAACUGAGAAAUACAUAGGUUACUCUGAAAGUAAUGCCUCCUAUUUAUUUCCUUGAAAACUAUACAUACAAAGUAUGCACAGUGCCAAAUUGUCAGCUACAAAACACUACUUUUCAACACAAUCACCACCAUUAGUUAUGCAUUUUCAUUACUGAUAGCCUGUAUGCCAUGCUUGUAAAAAUCUGCAUGGCCAUCUGGAAUAUGGCUUGCCUUUCUGGUUGCUGUUGCCACAGCUGAAACACACCACCCAGCGCCUCACUGUGCUCAUAUUCACUGUUCAGUCUCCACAAACAUUCAGCAAGCCAAUGAAUGUCAGUGGGUGCCAUUUUUUUCUGGAAUUAAAUGACAUCCCUUUGCUUCAUUUGCACAACCAUGUUGGACACCAUUUUGUCAGACUGCCUCUCUGCUGCCAUCUGUCACAUGGCAACAACAUGUAAUGGAGUAUUGGUGGGAAGGUUCAACCUCUACUGCCAAACCUCCAGCAUCAACCUCUGAUGUUGUGAGCCAAUGUAAUAAAAUAAGAGGCAUUACUUUUGGAACAGCUCUCCUAUAUUGUAGAUGAAAAGCAGUCCUUUAUUUAUUGCAUUUUUUCAUUGUUGUUGUUUUAAUGCAAACAAGUGCUUGCAGAAUCUAGUUUGUUAUUAAGCUGUCUUCAUGGUUCAGUGAGAGUUGACAUCCUGCAUCUGGGAUGCAGGCGAGAAAUUAUGGAGCUCUCUCUUACCUUUACAGCUGAACAUGAGAUCU
ensembl:lncRNA